rnacentral:lncRNA from 1 species
GUUAGUAGGGAGGCGGGGCUUAUUUCAUACACGGUUAGUAGUGGUGUUGCGUCCCUUUAUAUUCCAUAUUAGGUUAGAAAGGAGGCGGGCUUAUUUCAUACACGGUUAGUAGUGGUGUUACGUCCCUUUAUAAAAACAAAACGGUACUGAGAAAAAAAUCUAAAAGGUUCCAACAGACGAAGAAAUUGAAGAUUAAGAUUGAAAUUAAUUCAUAAAACACAUUUAAA